rnacentral:misc_RNA from 1 species
GAUGAAGAACGUAGCGAAAUGCGAUACGUAAUGUGAAUUGCAAAUUCAGUGAAUCAUCGAGACUUUGAACGCACAUUGCGCCCCCUGGUAUUCCGGGGGGCAUGCCUGUCCGAGCGUCAUUGCUGCCCUCAAGCACGGCUUGUGUGUUGGGCCCCGUCCUCCGAUCCCGGGGGACGGGCCCGAAAGGCAGCGGCGGCACCGCGUCCGGUCCUCGAGCGUAUGGGGCUUUGUCACCCGCUCCGUAGGCCCGGCCGGCGCUUGCCGAUCAACCCAAAUUUUUAUCCAGGUUGACCUCGGAUCAGGUAGGGAUACCCGCUGAACUUAAGCAUAUCAAUAAGCGGAGGA